rnacentral:rRNA from 1 species
GACAUGUACGGAACUUGCCAGAGAUGGCUUGGUGCUCGAAAGAGAGCCGUAACACAGGUGCUGCAUGGCUGUCGUCAGCUCGUGUCGUGAGAUGUUGGGUUAAGUCCCGCAACGAGCGCAACCCUUGCCAAUAAUUGCCAUCAUUUAGUUGGGCACUUUAUUGGGACUGCCGAUGACAAAUCGGAGGAAGGUGGGGAUGACGUCAAGUCCUCAUGGCCCUUAUGGCCAGGGCUUCACACGUAAUACAAUGGUCGGUACAGAGGGUUGCCAAGCCGCAAGGUGGAGCCAAUCCCAGAAAGCCGAUCGUAGUCCGGAUUGAGGUCUGCAACUCGACCUCAUGAAGUCGGAAUCGCUAGUAAUCGCGGAUCAGCAUGUCGCGGUGAAUACGUUCCCGGGCCUUGUACACACCGCCCGUCACACCAUGGGAGUGGGUUUUACCAGAAGUAGGUAGUCUAACCGCAAGGGGGACGCUUACCACGG